rnacentral:rRNA from 1 species
GCUCCCUGAUGUUAGCGGCGGACGGGUGAGUAACACGUGGGUAACCUGCCUGUAAGACUGGGAUAACUCCGGGAAACCGGGGCUAAUACCGGAUGCUUGUUUGAACCGCAUGGUUCAAACAUAAAAGGUGGCUUCGGCUACCACUUACAGAUGGACCCGCGGCGCAUUAGCUAGUUGGUGAGGUAAUGGCUCACCAAGGCGACGAUGCGUAGCCGACCUGAGAGGGUGAUCGGCCACACUGGGACUGAGACACGGCCCAGACUCCUACGGGAGGCAGCAGUAGGGAAUCUUCCGCAAUGGACGAAAGCUGACGGAGCAACGCCGCGUGAGUGAUGAAGGUUUUCGGAUCGUAAAGCUCUGUUGUUAGGGAAGAACAAGUACCGUUCGAAUAGGGCGGUACCUUGACGGUACCUAACCAGAAAGCCACGGCUAACUACGUGCCAGCAGCCGCGGUAAUACGUAGGUGGCAAGCGUUGUCCGGAAUUAUUGGGCGUAAAGGGCUCGCAGGCGGUUUCUUAAGUCUGAUGUGAAAGCCCCCGGCUCAACCGGGGAGGGUCAUUGGAAACUGGGGAACUUGAGUGCAGAAGAGGAGAGUGGAAUUCCACGUGUAGCGGUGAAAUGCGUAGAGAUGUGGAGGAACACCAGUGGCGAAGGCGACUCUCUGGUCUGUAACUGACGCUGAGGAGCGAAAGCGUGGGGAGCGAACAGGAUUAGAUACCCUGGUAGUCCACGCCGUAAACGA